rnacentral:rRNA from 1 species
CCUACGGGAGGCAGCAGCGGGGAAUUUUGGACAAUGGACGAAAGUCUGAUCCAGCAAUGCCGCGUGCAGGACGAAGGCCUUCGGGUUGUAAACUGCUUUUGUACGGAACGAAACGGCCUGCUUUAAUACAGUGGGCUAAUGACGGUACCGUAAGAAUAAGCACCGGCUAACUACGUGCCAGCAGCCGCGGUAAUACGUAGGGUGCGAGCGUUAAUCGGAAUUACUGGGCGUAAAGCGUGCGCAGGCGGUUAUAUAAGUCAGAUGUGAAAUCCCGGGCUCAACCUGGGACCUGCAUUUGAGACUGUAUAGCUAGAGUACGGUAGAGGGGGAUGGAAUUCCGCGUGUAGCAGUGAAAUGCGUAGAUAUGCGGAGGAACACCGAUGGCGAAGGCAAUCCCCUGGACCUGGUACUGACGCUCAUGCACGAAAGCGUGGGGAGCAAACAGGAUUAGAUACCCUGGUAGUCCACGCCCUAAACGAUGUCAACUGGUUGUUGGGUCUUCACUGACUCAGUAACGAAGCUAACGCGUGAAGUUGACCGCCUGGGGAGUACGGCCGCAAGGUUGAAACGUCAAAGGAAUUGACGG